rnacentral:lncRNA from 1 species
UUAUCAAUACUCAACUGCUCAAGACAUUCGAUGAAUGUCCGACCCAGCGAAUUGAAAGAAGUGGUUGCGAGUCGCGAAAGUACGUCGGCUCAAAUAUUUUCUAUCUUUGGGAUGUGAAAGAUCUCAAAAUAUUUUAGGAUUGAUAUUAGAUCUUUCACCUUCUGAAAAUACUUCAUCAUGAUGGGGUCUCGGGCUUCAAACUUGUCCUUAAUCUACCCAGCAAUCAACUAUGAGUCGAUGAAGACCUUCAGACUGUCAAUAUCAAGC